CCCCGCCCCGGGAGAGGCCCCAGCCCUGCAGUGAAGCUCCGGGAGCAGGCUCAAGAUCUGGAGCGUGCAGCUCUCAUCCACUUGCUGAACUGUGUGCUUUUGUUCUUUCAAGUACUUCCUCUAAUCGAGCUGCCUGGAGAUGCGGUUGUCAAAGGAGCUAGAAAUCGAAGCCUCUUAGAAACCCUGCUGGAUUCCUGGUGAGAGAGGCCCCGAGAGACUGUAGACCACGUGCACACACCAGCAGUUUCAGGUCUUAAGAAAAGACUAAAGUUCCCCUGAGAAGAGGGAGAUCUGCCUCCAGAUGGCCUUCAGACUCAAGACUGCAACAUUAAGGCUUCCCCGGGUCUCCAGCCCACCAGCCCAUCCUGCAGAUUUUAGACCAUUCUCCAUAAUUGUAACUCCACAAAUACCCAUUGCGGCCCCACUCCUGGAGGUCAGGACGGAUCAGCGCAGCCCCGGGUGUCUGCCCACACGCGUGGUCCAAGGUUCACAUCGGCUCAUCCGAGAGCUUCGUCCCUCUGGUGACGAAUUGUCACUUCUACAUAAAGGGGUGAAUGUAGAAUGCUUGGCAGCCGUUCCCAUGAUCCAUAAACGUGCUGUUUCAUGGACUGUCUGAUGCAUUUUGACAAGAGUGAUCUGGGAGAGGGUUAUGUGCCGGAAGUUCUCUUUUUGGAGAACCCUGGGGGCCUGGGGAAGGCUGCUCUUGAACUGCCUCCGUGGGAGCAAACAGUGAUGCUUUCAGAGAUCAGGACACAGACACGCCCAGAGGGAUGACCACGUGAGGACGAAGGGGGAGGACGGUGUUUACACGCCAGGAGAGAGGCCUCAGAAAGAACCAGCCGUGCUGACGUGCUGAUCUCGGACUGCGGCUGUGGAGUUUGCUGUGACCGCCGAGCUGACUGCCACGUCGUAGGAGCACAGGUGCUCCCUUACGGGGAAGAAUGGGCAGCACAUAUACCCCAGAUGUGACGAUUAAACGGCAGGAUUCCACUUAAAAUUCACUUUGAAUUAACCUGUGAUUAAGGAUCUCACGUUGCCCCUCCCGGCAGAUUUUACCGUCUUAUCCUUCAGCCCCUCUGUGCCCCCCGAACAAACAGAGACCACAAACACGCACACAGUGGAGCUGAGGGCCGGGCCUGGGGCACUCCGUGCGCGCAGGCUAACGUACCCCCGCUUCCUCAGGCUCUGACUGUGCCAAGAAUCAUCUUUAAAGAUGAUCUGCUUCCUUAUUAUUUUUCUUCUUCUUUGCAACAUUAAAAUCUUGGCCUUGAUAAAAGGCAAUAUUCUUUGCUAAUUUGAAGUACAAUGAAACAUACAAAAAAGAAAAAAGAUUUCUGACAGACACUGUUAAUCAAGUGUUCAGAAAUCUGCUUGUGCUGAAAUAACCUGACAUUUUUUGCGUGUCCUUUAGUCCCUCUAAUACAGUUAGGGUUUUUUCCGUCCACAAAGGUGCAUUCUUGAUAAUUGCUUUCUCACAUCCCUGGGAAAACUGCUAGAAAUCAUAGACCUAAUUCAUAGUGUAAUUACAUAGCUUGACCUGAAGAUUUCAGAUCCUUGGACACAAAGCCACAGGGUUUGCACAUAACCAGGUUGAGCACAAACUUUCUGAGCACUUAGAUCUUGCAAUCCCCCCAUACUUGAUACAUAUCUUAUUUAAUACACUGAGAAACACAUCUAUUA